rnacentral:snoRNA from 14 species
UCCCAGUGAGGAAGCACUCACACGUCUUACUUCCUGUCCUAGCCCCAGAGCCUGUAAAGGUGAACCCACUGGGGCUGGCUGGGAGAAAAGAGGAAAGUGUGUUCCAGAAGGAACUGUCUGAGGGAC